rnacentral:rRNA from 1 species
UACGUAGGAGGCAAGCGUUGUCCGGAAUUAUUGGGCGUAAAGAGCGUGUAGGCGGUCCGGUAAGUCAGCUGUGAAAGUCAAGGGCUCAACCCUUGAAUGCCGGUUGAUACUGUCGGGCUAGAGUCCGGAAGAGGCGAGUGGAAUUCCCGGUGUAGCGGUGAAAUGCGCAGAUAUCGGGAGGAACACCAAUGGCGAAGGCAGCUCGCUGGGACGGUACUGACGCUGAGACGCGAAAGCGUGGGGAGCAAACAGG